rnacentral:lncRNA from 1 species
AACUACAUCCUGAAUAACUGUCUAUACAACUCAGUUGGAGAUAGUUUCAUAAUGAUAUUCUAAGAGCAGCAAACAGUAUCCAGGACCCUCUUUAAAAUGUGGAUAUAUAUGAAACGGAGUGGUUAUAUUGUCACUUCACCUCAAAGUCAAAAUCCAGGAAAAAAAUAUAUCACAGAAAAAAAUCAAACCAUUGGAUGUGAGAAUCACAAGACCAUGGCAGAGUUUCUUUGUGGCGUUGGCUGCAAUAUUCGUCUUAAU